rnacentral:rRNA from 1 species
CCUACGGGUGGCAGCAGUGGGGAAUAUUGCACAAUGGGCGCAACCCUGAUGCAGCGACGCCGCGUGAGUGAAGAAGUAUUUCGGUAUGUAAAGCUCUAUUAGCAGGGAAGAAAAUGACGGUACCUGACUAAGAAGCCCCGGCUAACUACGUGCCAGCAGCCGCGGUAAUACGUAGGGGGCAAGCGUUAUCCGGAUUUACUGGGGGUAAAGGGAGCGUAGGCGGCAGCACAAGUCUGGAGUGAAAUGCCGGGGCUUAACCCCGGAACUGCUUUGGAAACUGUGCGACUAGAGUGCAGGAGAGGUAAGUGGAAUGCCUGGUGUAGCGGUGGAAUGCGUAGAUAUUAGGAAGAACACCAGUGGCGAAGGCGGCUUACUGGACUGUAACUGACGUUGAGGCUCGAAAGCAUGGGGAGCGAACAGGAUUAGAUACCCCAGUAGUC